UGCGGGAUGGAGCAGUCCGGUUAGCUUGCCAGGCUCAUAACCUGGAGGUCGCAGGUUCGAAUCCUGCUCCCGCAA
rnacentral:tRNA from 1 species